CCUGAUGGCUCAGACGUUAAAGCAUCUGCCUGCAAUGCAGGAGACCUGGGUUCAAUCCCUGGCUCCGGA
rnacentral:tRNA from 1 species